GCUGGUGGAGGAGGGGUAUAUAUGGUAAGAGAAAACCAAUUUGAAGGGGCCCGGGUAUCUAAAUUGUCCCUAUCAUGCUAAUAUUAGGAAUACAUGCUUGUUUUCCUAAUGUUAGAGUGUUCCUUUAAGUAAUAGCGGAGAUUUCUCACCAGCAAAACUUUAAAAAGCAGCAAAUAAAUAGGUUCAGAAAUGGGAAUCUUUGAC